CCAUCGCCGUACAGUCAGACUGCUUUCAGAGAGCGCGGAAGACGCCGAGAGAUCAUUUUGAGUUAUUUUCCCAAGUAUAUAAAAAGGGUUCAGCUACAGUCCCGUGAGAGCGUUCAAUGUAGUAGUGUAACGGCGAAAGUUAAGGAAAGGUAAUUGCAAUCGUUUUGCAAGAUCGCUGCGAUCCAACCAGGGAAAGGAUAAGUGCUCCUUUCUACAUCGCAUUUUGGGCCGAAGAACUGUUGGGUGGACAGGCUGUUUCAGUGAGAAGCUUGUAUGAAGUUUGCGCAGGUGAAUUGGCCAGGAAUCAGCAAAGUACCCAUGACGCAUUGUUAAGCCGUUUUUAAGUACCAUAGGCUACUACUUGUAUUUAUUUAAUUUUUAUUAUUAUUUUUUUUGUACGAGAAAUCCAUGUUAUUUUGCCCUUUCAAAUAUGAAAUGACAGCAUCGCUGGGAUAAGAUGUCCGUGGAAACAAACCUGCCCGUCAAAGGUGCUUCACCUGCAGUUAGCAGCUGCGAGCAGGAAAACUUACAAGUUAGCAUGACAAAAUAACCUACUUGAAAAAUACUUUUUUAUCCAUAUUUGGACCACAGAGCCACGCUGAGAUGAAUAUUACGAGGAAUAGAAGUCACCACGUGAUGUUUUUUACUCGUGCCUUGCAAGCCCUAAUUUUGUUCGAGAGCACGCUACAAAUUACGAUAAAAUUCACCCUUUCUCAAACGCUGGCAAUUCCCAGUAGCAGCCCUCUUGGAUUACUACAGGACAAUGGUUUCGGAACACUUUCGCCAGCGGAAAGUCACCAGAACUCAACGUGGAAAGAGCCAACUGCCGAAAAGUUUCAUUCCGGGAAUGGCACCACACGAAGAGCUCUUCCUUUUCAUAAACACCACCACCAAGAUCAGAAUGGUGAGCCACUGGAGAGAACCAGACCAUUUGUCAUAGUGGAUGGACACAGACAAAAAUUGAGUAAGGCCCUACAGAAUGGCCACCCAGACAAGCUGAUGUGUGAGCUGCAAGUUGGAGGCACCCUCUACCUGCUGGACCUGGAGAAAAAUCAUGAUCUGAUGCCCAAGCCUCCCAAUGUGUUUUACUACCUUCCCAAUGGUACUGGGGUCUCGCUGGAGGACCGUCUGCUCGUACACUGCUACUACCAUGGCUCAGUGAGGGGGUACCCUGAAUCUCGAGUGGCCCUAAGUACCUGCUCGGGGUUACGGGGGGUGAUUGUGAUCAAUGCGAUGGUGGGCUUUGAGUUGCUACCUGAGGAGAAGGCGAAAGCAAAGGGCUGGAAGAAGAGUGGGGGAGAGGAAGAGGAGGAGGGGAUGCACCUGCUUUACCCCUCCCACCGGCUGGAGUCUCGGACCGGGGGCUGUGGGGUGUCCCACACUCAGGUGCCCCCUCUGUCUGCCGUGCCCCACGUGCACCGGAGUAAGAGAGACAUUCUGUCUGAGACGAAGUACAUUGAGCUGGUGCUGGUGGUUGAUCAUAAAGAGUACAUCAACUAUCAGAAGAACAACAAGACCAUCAUCUAUCGCAUGUUGGAUGUGGCCAACCAAGUGGACUGGUUUUACAGACCUCUCAAUGUACGUGUGGCUCUGGUGGGCCUGGAGAUCUGGAGUGACCAGGACAAGAUCCAGGUGGACAAGAACCCCACGGAGACGCUCAACCGCUUCCUGGAGUGGCGCACCAGCAAGCUGCUGUCCCGCCUGCGUCAUGACAACGCCCAGCUCAUCAUGGGGGACUCGUUUGACGGGACCACAGUGGGGAUGGCGUCCCAGUCCUCCAUGUGCUCCAAGGACCGGUCAGGUGGCGUUAACGUGGACCACCUGGUGAGCGUGCUGGGCGUGGCCUCCACGGUGGCCCACGAGCUGGGACACAACCUGGGCAUGAGCCACGACACGGCCGCGCGGCGCUGCCAGUGCCAGAACGAACCGCGGCUGGGCGGCUGCAUCAUGGAGGCCUCCACCGGGUUCAUGCCAGGCCAGCUGUUCAGCAGCUGCAGCGCGCGGGACCUGUCCCUCAGCCUGCUCCACGGAGGGGGGAUGUGCCUGUUCAACGUGCCCCAGCCGGAGAAGCUCCUCGGGGGGCCUCGCUGUGGGAACCUGUACGUGGAGAAGGGAGAGGAGUGCGACUGUGGUCUGGUGGAUGAGUGCAACGAUCCCUGCUGCAACGCCAGCACCUGCAGACUGGUUCCGGGCGCGCAGUGUUCCUCUGACGGUAUUUGCUGCAACAACUGCAAGCUGCGGCCCGCAGGCUGGGUGUGCAGGGACCCCCUGGGGGAGUGCGACCUCCCGGAGCACUGCACCGGGGCCUCCCCCUACUGCCCCGCCAACGUCUUCCUCCAGAACGGGGCGUCCUGCCAGGAGGGAGAGUCCUACUGCUACAGUGGGAUCUGCGCCAGCCUGGACUCCCAGUGCCAGAUGCUGUGGGGGCCCAACUCCACCAAGGGUCCUGACGUUUGCUUCUCCUCCGUCAACAAGCAGGGCAGUAAGAACGGCAACUGUGGCCAGACGCCAAACGGAACGUACAUUCCUUGUUCUGCUGCAGAUGUGCUGUGUGGGAAGAUCCAGUGUCAGGGGGGAAGUGAGCGCCCCCUGUUGGGCUCCAGCGCGCAGAUCCUCACCACCAAGGUGCGUGUGAACUACACCGACCUGGUCUGCCGCGGCACCUAUUUGGACCUGGGGGACGACGUCUCUGACCCCGCCAUGGUUUCCCAGGGGGCUGCCUGUGGGGCUGGCAAGGCUUGUGUGAGCCAGCGGUGCCAGGACGUGUCAGUGUUCGGAGUGGAGGACUGUCAGAGGAAGUGCAGUGGGCAUGGGGUCUGCAACAGCAAUAAGAACUGCCACUGUGACGCGGGCUGGGCCCCUCCGGACUGCAUGUACUCCGGCCACGGGGGCAGUGUGGACAGCGGACCGGCCAGGGACCCCAAAGAAUCUGACCCCGUGCGUGUGGCCCUCCUGGUCACCUUCCUCUUCGUCCUGCCUGCGGUGCUGCUCUUCCUCGCCCUGCGCUACCCCCGCUGCCGGCGAAAGCUCUCCUGCCUGCGGGGCAGCCCCUUCCACAAGGGCCCCAGCAGCCGCCAACAGAGCCGGACCCCAGCGACGGAGCGGGUGGACUCCCGGAACGGAGAACAGGUCCAGCCGCUGAGGUACCACUGCACCAACCAAACUGAGAUCCCGCUGACCCCGCCGUCAGACAAGGUUCUGGACAGGCCUGCGCCUCCUAUUAAGCCCCUCCCACCCGACCCGGUGAUAAAACACACGCAGUUGGCAGGGGAGCGGCCAGCCCCUCCCAACAAGCCUCUCCCCCCUGACCCCAUUCCCACUGGCACCAAGCCGAUGGGGGACCGACCAGCACCUCCAAACAAGCCUCUUCCUCCUGACCCUGUCCUCGCAGACAGACAGGUACCAGGGUGGUGGAAGAGUGGGGGGUGGUGGGGCCUUCAGGCCGACCAAACCACCCGUGCCCAGGAAACCCUUGCCUGCUGACCCGUCAUCACAUCCUGUCCCAGGAGUCGCACCAUCGCGCUCCACCUCUGGAGUCCCUGUGCAACCUGGAGCCAGUGUAUCUUCACUUCCGACUUAUGGCCCACGAGUCGCUGUUGUCCCAGCCAGACGUGCUCCUCUUCCACCAGUGCGGAUGGCAGAGUCCAGUAAACCCCAUGCACCGCCCCCGGUUUAAGCAGCUGGGAUUUCUGUGAGCUGGAUCACACUCCAUUGAACUGCACUGAUCCUGCAGGAGGGAUCUGCUCUGAGCUUUUCAACCACACACAACCUGGCUGGAGAGCUCCUCCACACCUCCAGCUCUAACUAUGCUGCAAUCCAUCCAUCCCCUUUUUCCUGAAGUCCUUCUUCCCUAGCACAAAGACGCUCAGUCCAGCAGCAGUGCCUAGGCACUUUUUGCUGAGUCACGGCUUGGGACAGAACCUGAAGAGAGCCAGUUAACGUCUUCCGGCAGCCAGAGAUGCCUUUGUACCAUGAUUGCAAAUCAGUCACCUGGGAAAUCUGCAUGAGUUUCUACAUACGACUGGCAGGACGCUCAGUUUGGAAAAGACCUUCAGACUGCAAGAAUGUGCAUAAUGUAGGAAAUGGCAAAAUGGACUACAGCUAUGACUGCUUUGUGCACACUGGAAUGAUAGCACUGGAACCUAUACUCAACACCUAUUUUCCAUGUUUCUGGAUUAGGUGUAUGAGUGUGUGGAUAGAGAGGUAAGCACCAGUGAUUGACAGUUACCUCUCCAUCCUUUCAGAAUUUGUGAUCUUUGCACAGGGAUUCGGCGGUUGUUUUGUACUCCACCUUUACGAGAACCAUGACCCUCACCUCACUUUCUUCCAUAACCCACUAAAUCCUGGGAUGUCAAGAGCUUUAAACCCUCCAUCCUAACAGCCCUCAGUUUGCACUUCAGCUGACAGGGUCAUUGUGUAAUCCAUACAUUUUAAGCCUGGGGGAUAUUUAGUUGAACGCUCUGUUCUGUGUUUGCUGUGAAAAAAAAAAAGAGAGAGAGGAAAACCAGAAAGUGGAAUUAAACAACGGCUCCAGUCAGGAACGUGUGGGAUGUUUUUCAGAAGAUGGUGGAACGCUGUGAGUGUGGACUGAUUUCUUACUGCUGUCGAUUUAUUAUCCCUUAAGAGAUGAGAUCUCACUGAAGGACGUUUACCAGAAGAGGACACGCAUGAAUUCUUCAGCAGGAAGCCACACACAGUCAUAAUGGGAGCCUUUUAUUUAUUCUAGAAUGUGUUUGGAGCCCCCUGGUUAAACCCAGGCCCUAAUGGACAUUUAAUGCACUCCAAGCAUAGGGCUGUGGUUUCAACUCAAGCCAGAGUGACAGUUUCCCAGAAUGUAAAGAAAAUUUUUUAUUUUAAUUUCCUGUGAAAACUAGCUACUAGUCCCAUCUCCUGACUUAAUACAUAUGAUGAGGUAUACAGUAUGAACAUGACUGUUUUCUGUACUUUAUGAAAGCCCAUGUAAGAUGCUGGCCUUGGUGCUUCUGUCAAUUGAAAGAAGUUGAAAAUGUGUUGAUCUGACUGAGCCAUUUAAGGCAGUCCAAAGCAGUGAUGCGUGAAAAAGAUACAAGCUGUUACUGGUAAUGUACUGAAUACUGGAACUGGAACUGAAAGCGAUCUUACAGUAACUGUUUAGAGGUUUUUUUAAAUUUGUUUUGUAGUUUAGUUUGUUUUUUUUAAGUGAAUUUUAACACUAGACCCAUGAGUCCAAUGGACAGUUUUCUACUGAAAUGAAGCCAGUGCACGUUCAUCUGCAGUGAGAGUUUUUCCCUCAUGAGUUUUCUCAU